rnacentral:rRNA from 1 species
AUUGAACGCUGGCGGUAUGCUUAACACAUGCAAGUCGAACGAUGAGAAAGAGCUUGCUCUUUCGAUUAGUGGCGGACGGGUGCGUAACGCGUAGGAAUCUACCUAUUAGUGGGGGACAACUUAGGGAAACUUAAGCUAAUACCGCAUACGCCCUACGGGGGAAAGAAGGGGAUCGCAAGACCUUUUGCGAAUAGAUGAGCCAGCGUAGGAUUAGCUAGUUGGUGGGGUAAAAGCUCACCAAGGCGACGAUCCUUAACUGGUUUGAGAGAAUGAUCAGUCACACUGGAACAGAGACACGGUCCAGACUCCUACGGGAGGCAGCAGUGGGGAAUAUUGGACAAUGGGCGAAAGCCUGAUCCAGCAAUACCGCGUGUGUGAAGAAGGCCUUAGGGUUGUAAAGCACUUUCAAUUGGAAGGAAAACCUCGAAGCUAAUACCUUCGAGUUUGACAUUACCUUUAGAAGAAGCACCGGCUAACUCCGUGCCAGCCGCCGCGGUAAGAC